rnacentral:rRNA from 1 species
UGUAGUCUGCAACUCGACACAUGAAGCUGGAAUCGCUAGUAAUCGCGGAUCAGAAUGCCGCGGUGAAUACGUUCCCGGGUCUUGUACACACCGCCCGUCACACCAUGGGAGUCGAUAACGCCCGAAGUCAGUGACCCAACCUGUAAGGAGGGAGCUGCCGAAGGCGGGAUUGAUAACUGGGGUGAAGUCGUAACAAGGUAGC